GAUGAAGAACGCAGCGAAAUGCGAUACGUAAUGUGAAUUGCAGAAUUCAGUGAAUCAUCGUAUCUUUGAACGCAUAUUGCGCUCUCUGGUAUUCCGGAGAGCAUGCUUGUUUGAGUAUCAGUAAACACCUCAACUUUCCAUAUCUUUUUUGAAAUGGGAGUUGGACUUGAGUGAUCCCAACGCUUUUCCUCACCGAAAAGUGGCGGGUUACUUGAAAUGCAGGUGCAGCUGGACUUUUCUCUGAGCUAUAAGCAUAUCUAUUUAGUCUGCCUAAAAAACAGAUUAUUACCUUUGCUGCAGCUAACAUAAAGGAGAUUAGUUCUUGUGCUGACUGAUGCAGGAUUCACAAAGACAGGCUUCGGCCGACUUUGUAAACUCGAUCUCAAAUCAAGUAAGACUACCCGCUGAACUUAAGCAUAUCAAUAAGCGGAGGA
rnacentral:misc_RNA from 1 species